rnacentral:lncRNA from 1 species
AGAUAGCCGGGGUCAGGGCUUCUGGAUGGUGUGAGCCACUAUGUGGGAGCUGGAGAUUGAACCUCGGUCCACUGCAAGAGCAACACGUGUUUUUGUUUUUGUUUGUUUUGUUUUAACCAAUGAGCCCCUUCUCCAGGCCUUAAACCAGUGUUUAAUCUGGUCUGGAAACAUCUCUUAGAAAGAGGUGUCCCAAAGUUGGAACACCGCGAUCUUUUCCCUGGGACAUUGUCUCUUUGAGUCCUCACGUGUGACGUUACUAUCUUAUCUCCAGAUCCAAAGAAGCGUCUUUCUCUGAUUCCUUUUAUCUGGAAGAACUGAGAGGAGACGGGCGAACGGUUGUGAGAAUCUCUUUAAGGGGCAGUCCUGGAAUGAGUGAAGUGCACCGCUGACUCCUGGCCGCCUGUCUCUCCUAUGGCCUGGCAUCUUCACAGAUGCAGAUUUUGAAAAUGCAUUUCUCCUUUAUCUGAGAGCCCCUCCUGCCCCCUCCUCCAGGACCGACACACUAUGCGUGGAACCUGUGAUGCUAGGCCAUCCUUCCUAUGGUUUGACAUAUUGUCUCACCAGUAAAGGGUAGAGCUGGAACCCACCAUGAAAUCCUGGCCCAGCAAAAUACGUGCCCUAGAGAAGAAGGACCACAAACUCAAGGUCACCUGGGGCUACAUACUUAAGAUCCAGUCUCAAAACUCCAAAUCAAACAAAAAUUGCGCUAAUAAUAAAUUGUAGGAAGUAAGAAGAUGACACCAGGUAGCAGGUCUCAGGCAGCCUCUUUCUGGCUUUAGACUCAUGAUGGCUUAGAGUAGUUUUGAACUCCCAGUAUCAUCUUCUAAAUGUGCAUCUCGACAAAAAAAAAAGGAAUGACUUCGCCGGGCGUGGUGGCGCACACCUUUAAUCCCAGCACUCGGGAGGCAGAGGCAGGCGGAUUUCUGAAUUCGAGGCUAGCCUGGUCUACAAAGUGAGCUCCAGGACAGCCAGGGCUAUACAGAGAAACCCUGUCUCGAGAAAAAAAAAAAAAAAAAAGGAAUGAUUUCUCUGAGAUAGGGCCACAUGUAGCCCAGGCAACCCUCAAACUGUGAAGUCACAGAUUAUCUGAUCCUCCUGCCUCCACCUCCCAGUGUAAUUAAAAGUACAGCUAGCCUGGUGGCACGCCAUGCCUGACAUAGAGAGAGCAUGCAUCCAACUAAGGGCUUCAUUCUUACUAAGGCAAGCAUUCUGCCUACUGAGCUACAUACAUCCCCGGUGCAGAGAGGAAUAUUUAUUAAGCCUUCAUCCCUUCCAUAAUUGGACAAUGUAUUGUCUUGAUGUUCUGAUGGGCAGGAAGUUAUUUAGGCAGUAUAUAAACUGUCAUACUACACAGGGCAAAAAUAUUGCUUGUUUUCAAAAAAACAUUAGAAUACAGUAAAAUGCACCUGUCAUGGACUAGCCGGCUCUUCCUUUAAUCUUUUUUCCCCCCUCUCCUGUUUCAAAAAGAUGUUCAGGGUUCUCAGCAUAUCAGGGUCAUCAUUUUCAAACAUCCAUUAGUGCCAUCCCCCAGUCGAGGGAGAGAUGUAGUUAAUAAACAUUUCUGC